rnacentral:tRNA from 1 species
GAUUGUGUGGCCUAAUGGAUAAGGCGCUUGCCUCCGGUCGGAGUUACAUCCGUGGACACAGCAAGAGACUCGGGGUUCGAGUCCCCGCACAAUCG